CACGGGGGGGAGCAAGCGUUGUUCGGAAUCACUGGGCGUAAAGGGCGUGUAGGCGGUCAAGUAAGUGGAAUGUGAAACGCCUCGGCUUACCCGAGGACCUGCAUCCCAAACUGCUUGGCUUGAGUAUGGGAGAGAUGAGGGAAUUCCCGGUGUAGCGGUGAAAUGCGCAGAUAUCGGGGAGGAACACCGGUGGCGAAGGCGGGGUCUC
rnacentral:rRNA from 1 species